rnacentral:rRNA from 1 species
CACGUAGGGCGCAAGCGUUGUCCGGAAUUAUUGGGCGUAAAGAGCUCGUAGGCGGUCUGUUGCGUCCGCUGUGAAAACUCGGGGCUUAACCCCGAGCCUGCAGUGGAUACGGGCAGACUAGAGGUAGGUAGGGGAGAAUGGAAUUCCCGGUGUAGCGGUGAAAUGCGCAGAUAUCAGGAAGAACACCAAUGGCGAAAGCAGCUCUCUGGGACGGUACUGACGCUGAGACGCGAAAGCGUGGGGAGCGAACAGG